CACUGUGUUUACAGAUAAUCCAGCAAGUUUGCAGGCCAAAUGGCUCUCUAAAUCUAAGUCCACAAAGCACUGAAUGACACAGCAUGCUGCUCAGGGAGAUUCCAGCACAGCUCACCAGAAGGAUGGAGCGGUGUACAUUUUUGAGUGUCCCAGAUUCAGAGGCUCCAUUUUAAAUAACUGUUCUGACAAGCUAGUUCCCAGCAGGCAAAGUGUGAGCAGAGAUUAUCUCAAGCACAAGAGGGGUGUGCAGAGAUGGAAGCAGAGAAUGGAAGCACAAAUACCUGAUCUAUUGGACAAUGUGAAAGGUUCUCACUGA
rnacentral:lncRNA from 1 species